rnacentral:rRNA from 1 species
GCGAAUAGCUCAGUAACACGUGGCCAAACUACCCUUCGGAGCACGAUACCCUCGGGAAACUGAGGUUAAUAGUGCAUACCACAAUCCAGCUGGAAUGAGGAUUGUGCCAAACGCUCCGGCGCCGAAGGAUGUGGCUGCGGCCGAUUAGGUAGACGGUGGGGUAACGGCCCACCGUGCCAAUAAUCGGUACGGGUCAUGAGAGUGAGAACCCGGAGACGGAAUCUGAGACAAGAUUCCGGGCCCUACGGGGCGCAGCAGGCGCGAAACCUUUACACUGCACGCCAGUGCGAUAAGGGAAUCCCAAGUGCGCAGGCAUAGAGCCUGCGCUUUUGUACACCGUAGGGAGGUGUACGAAUAAGGGCUGGGCAAGACCGGUGCCAGCCGCCGCGGUAAUACCGGCAGCCCGAGUGAUGGCCGAUUUUAUUGGGCCUAAAGCGUCCGUAGCUGGCCGCACAAGUCCAUCGGAAAAUCCACCCGCCCAACGGGUGGGCGUCCGGUGGAAACUGUGUGGCUUGGGACCGGAAGGCGCGACGGGUACGUCCGGGGUAGGAGUGAAAUCCUGUAAUCCUGGACGGACCGCCGAUGGCGAAAGCACGUCGCGAGGACGGAUCCGACAGUGAGGGACGAAAGCCAGGGUCUCGAACCGGAUUAGAUACCCGGGUAGUCCUGGCCGUAAACAAUGUCUGUUAGGUGUGGCUCCCACUACGAGUGGGUGCUGUGCCGCAGGGAAGCCGCUAAACAGACCGCCUGGGAAGUACGUCCGCAAGGAUGAAA